AAGUAUGAUUUUCUGAGUUCUUUAUUUUCCAUUAUGAGUUCUUACAAGGAAGAUUAAGUUUACAAGAGACAAAGGUGAGAUGGGAGAGACUGAGUUGCACUUGCGUAAUGUCUUAGACGAUGAGAAAUAAACCUGGGCAGCAGUAAUUUGUAUCUUUUGCUUUUUAUUUUAAAUAACAUAAUAUUUUCUAUAAAUUUAUGUCUAAAAAUCUAUCAACUUAAAUUGCAUUGAUUUGUGGCUUUUUCAUUUGUAACAGGAACACUUGCUAGGAUUGGAGGAAUGUACUUAUGGUAUAUUUCACGUUCACAAUAAAUAUAUUAAUGAUAAUAGGUCUUUAUCUUUAACGGAUCAUACUUCUGGUUCAAUAUUGCAAGGAUGGACUUGCAUGUUAUGAACGUAUUAAGUUAGAUAUCUCGAGUCAACUAUCCAGUCAGAUUUAUACCGAAAAUCAAUAAAUGUGCAGACAUUGACAUUAAAUUAGAAAAUCAUCCUUUAAACAAAAGCAAACUAGGAAAUUUGAUUUGAAGGCUACGACUUGUUACGCUAACGACUUUUCAUAUUUCCGAAGGCCACUGAUUCGAAAGCUAAAGUGUAGCUGAAG